GCAUAUACAGUACUUAACAAAAACAUUUUCCCAUCAAUGGAUACUGUUAGAAUUACUCCCAUUGUGGACUUUGCUACUAACAAUUUUACCUUUAAAUGAACCCUUUAAAAUUGCAACUCCUGCUGAGUGAUAACUGAUAAGAGUGAUAAGUGAUAAGAAUGCCAAAUUUCACUGGCCCAUUGCGACUUCCAAAAAUUCACAUCUGAAGAACAAGAUGGGUCUCUUGUAAGAAAUAAAAAUCUACAUUAAAUAUCUUGCAAUACAAAAAAACAGCCUUUCAUUUAGUUAAAUCUCAAAUACACCUGACAUUAAAGGAACAAAAUGAUAACGACAUGAACUUUUAACUAUCACAAUUACAGAAGAAAGAAAGAAAAAAAAAACUCUUAAGAGCUAAGGUAUAUGUGUCACAGACACGCCAGGCUCUACCAUCACCCAACCACAGUGCACGUCAUCACCCGAGUUCUAAUCACGCACACCUGCAUCCCAUCAGCACAGUCAUCAGCAGCAGCACAAAAGGCACACGCACUCACAUAGGCUGCGUUUACACUUGGCAUUAAUAUGCGAUCACCGUGAUCCGAUCAAGCAGAUCAGAUCAUUAGCUAAACAGAACACAGCGCGUUUAUAUUUGAUCACAUUAAGUGGCCUCUGUAUCUGGAUAACUGAUCGGAUUUCUGUUUCCCGCACAAUAUUUAAAUUAGAUGCGUUUGAAAGGCAGACGCUUCAAAUAGCAUCAUAUAAAAAACUUUCACUUUAGUCUCUAUCAAUGCAGUGCAAACGGCACAGAAUUUUUGUGAUUUAUUCCACAAAAGUAUACAAUCGAUCACAGAGAGCUUAAUCUUUAAGUUUCCCAACAUUAAUCUUGUAUGGUGAAAAAAAAAAUAUUUCGAUGGAUUUCAUAAUUGAAAGGAGCGCGCAAGCAUUUGUAUUGUUUGUGUAAUAUGUAACGACAGAAUCCGAACACUUUGUAUUAAAGAAAUAAAAGAUCACACAUCACAUUAAAGAGCAUUAACUAAACAAGUGUAGGCUAUACGACACCAGAUAAGACGAUACAAAUUAAAUAAUGUCCUAUUGCUUUCACUUAGGCUUUACUUUCCGAUGCAAUCUCCAGUAAAGUUAAGCGUGCAAUAUUGGAAAUUAACUGAAACAAUCUAAACAAGGCGAUCGCGUAUGUUUUUAAAUGACACACAAGGUUUCAUGUAAGUCUAAAUAAACUGUUAUAUGAUAGACGUUUAUUGUAAAGUUCAAAGAAUUUUAAUUUCUUGUCAAAACUGUCCAUUAUUCUGUCCAUUAUUUUCUGACAGCCAUGCAGAGAGUCUGGGCGGGGAUUUAAAUGAUGUCGCCCUCUGAAUGUAGAUAUGAUGGCUGGAUCGCGUUUACAUUACACUGAGAUCCGACCACAAUGCAUCCUCGACUACCUCCGAACCAGGACACGUUGAUCGGAUAACAUUCCGAUCACAAACGUGUUUACACUUGUCUUUUCAAUGCAUGUGGACAACAUCCAGAUACAGGUCGCAUGUUAAUGCCAAGUGUAAACGCAGCCACAGUCACUGUCUGGUCUCGUUGGCAUAUAGACUUACCUAGAUGCUCACCUCAAGGACUCCUUCCAAGAUACUUACCUGUCUCCAGCGUGUUCCCAAGUCUCCUUUGUUGUUCCUCAUCUCGUGUGAGUUCCUCUGUGUCUCCUCAGCUCCAGUCCAUCACCAGCCUGCGAUAUCUGCAAGAGAAAAGACAAGUAUCACUCCAGUAUCCAUAUCUGCCACCUGUUUUAUCUGCCUGCACUUACCAGCACUCCGUCACUGCUCCUGGUUGUUCAAUAAACUAUAUUACCUGCACUCCAGUGUCUCUGUCCCCUUCUGUAUUGUAACAGAAGACCGGACCACUACUGAUGAACACCAGUAUGAGCACCCCGGAUCCAUUUCAAGAGCUCGUGAACGUUCUACGCCAAGCACUCUCCACUAAUCCUCCCGCAUCUUCACCAGCAAACACCGCUGUCUCUCCUUCACCACCUGCCGUCGCCAGUCCCAUGGCUAAACCGGCGCCCUUCUCUGGAUCGGCGGAGGAUUGCAACGGAUUCCUCCUGCAAUGUUCGCUGGUCCUGGAGAUGCAACCGCACCUGUACCCCAAUGACCACGCUAAGGUAGCGUUCAUAAUUUCUCUGUUAAAUGGCAAGGCGCUUCGCUGGGCUGAACCUCUUUGGUCCCAGAAAAAUCCCAUAACCCAGUCUCUCUCCAGUUUCAUCGCUCAUUUGAAAGAAGUUUUCGGAAGACCUGCCUGGGAUUCUUCAAUAGGUGAGCAGUUAUAUCAGUUGAAACAAGGAUCAAUGACUGUUAACGAAUAUGCUCUUCAAUUCAGAACCCUUGCUGCAGCUAGCGGCAGAAUCAUAGGCAGAGAAGUGCACCUUCCACCAGCCCUCAGUGCAGUUCCUUGGCUAUUACAUUGAUAGCAGUGGCAUCCGGAUGGACGAGAGGAAGGUGGCUGCAAUCAAGGACUGACCCAUUCCCACAACAAUCAAAGAGCUCCAGAGAUUCCUAGGAUUCGCCAAUUUAUAUCGUCGGUUCAUUCAAGCAUCAUUUCCACUCCACUCACCAACCUCCUACGGAAUAAGCGCAAGUCUCUGUCCUGGAACCCAGCCGCAACCCAAGCCUUCGAAACCCUGAAAGAAGUCUUCACCACCGCUCCCCUCCUGGUUCAUCCCGAUCCAGAAAGGUCCUUCGUCGUGGAGGUCGAUGCCUUGACCACCGGAGUGGGAGCGGUCUUGUCACAGCAGCAGGGGAACAAAAAGUAGACUCCACCCAUGUGCCUUCUUCUCCCGCAAACUCAACCCAGCGGAGAUCAACUAUGACAUAGGCAACAGGGAGCUUCUCGCCAUCAAGCUGGCCCUUGAGGAGUGGAGGCAUUGGCUCGAAGGAGCUAAACACCCGUUUGUUGUUCUAACUGACCACAAGAACCUGGAAUAUCUUCGAGACGCCAAACGACUAAACCCACGCCAAGCACGGUGGGCCCUGUUUUUCACUCGUUUCAACUUUACCAUCUCCUAUCGCCCGGGGUCAAAGAAUGUAAAGGCAGACGCCUUAUCCCGUAUUCACAGUCCCGACGAAAGCUCUGAAACUCCUGAACCAAUCCUGUCCAAGAAGCUCUUCGUCAACCCCAUUGUCUGGUCGGAAGAGACCCUGCCCGAGUCCAAUGCCUCCACCAACACUCCGCCGGGUUGCCCACCAGGUUUGCUCUACAUCACCCGGACACGGUGCACUCCCCUCAUCCACGCAUCUCACACGUCACUGGGCAUUGACCAUCCUGGGGUCAAUGAAACCCUCUCGAUGCUAAAAGAAUGCUUCUGGUGGCCGAACAUGGCAUCGGAUGUCAGAAGGUACGUGCAGGGAUGCAAGGAAUGCGCCAUCUCGAAGAGCCCACGACAUCUCAUUCUGAUGGUAAUUGACAGAUUUUCUAAGUCAUGUCGUCUGCUUCCUUUAAGGGGACUACCCACGGCCAUGGAGACAGCUGAACUUAUGUUCAAUCAUAUAUUCAGAUAUUAUGGAAUUCCUGAGGACAUUGUAUUGGAUAGAGGACCGCAAUUCAUCUCCAGGGUAUGGAAAGCCUUCUUCUCACUCCUAGGUGUGACCGUCAGUCUCUCCUCGGGAUACCAUUCACAGACGAACGGGCAGGCGGAGCGGAAGAUCCAAGAGAUCGGUCGCUUCCUUCGUACCUUCUGUCACGGCCACCAGGACUUUUGGAACCAGUUCCUGGGUUGGGCCGAGUAUGCCCAGAACUCUCUGCAACAGCCUACCACUGGACUCACCCCAUUUCAGUGCGUACUCGGCUACCAACCCCCACUGUUCCCCUGGUCAGGGGAUCCCUCGGACGUACCAGCGGUCGACUACUGGUUCCGAGAGAGCAAGAGGGUCUGGGACUCCGCACACCACCAGCUACAACCAUCGUCCGGCAGAUCAACCCCGUCACCUACCAGCUCCAGCUCCAGCUCCCACUGAGUAUAGAAUUCACCCCACUUUCCAUGUAUCUUUGUUGAAACCUCACCACCCAUCUGUUUCUGUUCCCACAGAGCCUGGCGCAGCCGAAGAACCCCCCCUUCCUCUCAUCGUGGACGACGGUGCUGCUUAUCAGGUGCGCGACAUCUUGGACUCCCGGCGCCGUGGUGGUCUUCUGGAAUACCUCGUAGACUGGGUGGACUACAGUCCCGAGGAACGCUCAUGGGUCCCCAGACAUGAUAUACUCGAUCCAAACCUGCUCGACACUUUCCAUGCCACUCGUCCAGAGAGACCUGCACCCCGUGGCAGAGGCCGACCACCACAACGUCGGGGUCCACAGCCCUUAGGAGCGGGCCGUGGAGGGGGGACAUUGUUUCAAUGUUGAAAUUCCAUCAGAAUCAUCAUUUUGUUUGAGAUAGAAAAUUCAAUGCUAAAUAAUAUUGAAUCAACAUUGAAAUGUCAAUGCUUUUCAGUGUUGAAAAAGACAACAUUGAAUCAAUGUUGAUUUUUGGUCAGCUUCAUCACUGGUGGAACUAGACUAAGCUAUGUCAAUUCAUCUGUCCCCUCAUUCAACACUUUAUUCACAUUAGCAUUCAUGCUCCUCAUGACCCUUCCCUCUAGUCCCACAAAAAAAUAUAAACAAAACAAAACAAAACAAACAAACAAAAAAAAUCCUGCUAACUGAAGUGUGUAGAUAAACUCCAACCAGUUGGAAGUCAGUGAGAUGAACCAGUUGGACAUUAUUAUAAUAACUUUACACUCUUCCAACUUAAACAGUAAAUUCACAACUACUUAAAACAUCUCACCUGCACUUUAAGGAUCCCACGUCAGACGUUUUUCUGACGUCACGACGCACGAGCGUCUUGAACUUUCUGCUCGAAUCGAUCGAUUUUCUCGGACUGAAAGCGCAAGAUAUUUUAAAUGCUGUGGGCGGGAAGUGCGCGUGGUGCGGGAGAAAACGCCCGAGGCUGUGGGGAUUCCUGCAUUAUAAUAUUGAGACCUAAAGCUUUUCAAUGAUGUUUGAAGACUGAGGACACUUCACAAUACAUGGAUAACCAGACAGAUGAUUGUGAGGGUGACCUUGAGCAGCUCUUCGUGGUGGUGUUCAUUAUUCGGAAGUAGGGGGAGAACUUCAUGAACCACCUGCUGACAUUGACAUUGUGAUCGAGGGAGAUAAAGUUUUGAAUCAACUCACUUGUCACAUCAGCUUGUGCCCUGCUUCUGGAUGUCUUACAACAAGUGAAGGCUGAAAAAAAGGAGGCCUCAAAGUUUGUAUUUGCUGUUGCUGCAAAACUGGCUCCGUUAGGCUCCUGAUCAGCUUGCGGGCGUUGCUUGUCAAAGUAUCAAUUUAAUGAAUAAGGACAUACUUUUUGCAUUAGAAGAGUAGCUUCAAUCCUUGAAAAGCUUCAAGUCCUGAGCAGUGAACUGUGGUAGUGUUUCAGUCUGUAGUACUGUGUGUCUUCGUUUCCAUGUGUAUUUACUUCCAUUUUACAGAUGCAGGUUGCAUUUAUGUCGUCACAGUUUUCCAGGCUCUCUUUCCAAUGACUAAAAUGCAUGUUUGAGCUGUUUGAACUGAAAGUAACUUGCACUGACAUCUUACAGUUUGUCUGUGCUAUUGUUUUGUCUCAAGAUGAAUGCCAAUAAUGUUUUAUUUUUUUUAAAUUUUUUUUACUACUUAUCCCCUUUCACAGACAAGGCUUAAAUCUAGUCCCAGACUAAAAUGUAUGUCUGAGCUGUUUUAACUGAAAACAUAUCUUAAAAUAUGUCACUGCCAUUGUUUUGUCUCGAGAUAAACACCAGUAAUGAUUGUUUUUUCUAAGGCAUGUCUAUAAAAGCUACUGAAAUAAUUGAACUAAGGUCUGAUCCUGGCUUAGCCUAAGCCCUGUCUGUGAAACCAGGUUUAUUUGUUUUAGUCACCAUGAAAUGCCAUUUUUACAGCCACUUGUUUUUCCUGAAUGUGAUGUUAAUUCCUGUUCAAACAGUGUGUGGUUAUAAAUGAAUACAUUUGUAUGUAAACUGAAGGAAGUUGUGAAUUUUUCAUUAAAACCAUAUUAACUGCAGCCCUUACAUUGUCUCUGAUUGAAAUGAGUAGAAAUAGACAUUUAACUGGCUUAGAAUCUUGCUGUACAUAAAGCAAGAUUGAUUUGAUAUUGUUUCCACGUUAAUUCAAUGUUAAAUAGGUGAUUUAAUUAAGGUUGAAAAAACAUUGAUUUUACAACCAUGUUGAUCUAUUUUUCAUCAUUGAAAUAACAUUAUUUCAGGGUGCAAACCUGAUGAAAAAUCAAUGUAAAAUUCAACGUUGAUCAACAUUGA